CAUCAGCUUCUUGUUCACCUGUUUCACCGCCACCGAACGUUUGGUGCCCCGGUGGUCACAACGCUUGACAACAGAGAAACGACCCCUGGUGAGAAGAGAGAGGAAAGACACUCAGAGGUGACUGUGGCCCGGGGUCGACCACAGACCUUACACCUGAGGGUUACGCUCUCUCCGUUGUCACAUGUCACGUCACUCAGAGGGACAAGGAACUCUGGAGGAACUAAAGGGAAGCAAAGCCAGGUAGUCCUGGGUCACCAACAUGGUGGAUACGCUACUGCUGCUGCUACUUUCACUCUGUGCCAAAGGGAAGAAGCAAGGUCAUGCAGAAAACGCCUACCGUUGAGGAAGUUGCGUUGGCUCUCCAGUAUCUGGCUGAUCUGAAGGGUCCAGACCUCACGCACCCCUGGGUGGGAGGAGUGA